rnacentral:rRNA from 1 species
AAUGAACGCUGGCGGAAUGCUUUACACAUGCAAGUCGAACGGCAGCACGGACUUCGGUCUGGUGGCGAGUGGCGAACGGGUGAGUAAUGUAUCGGAACGUGCCCAGUCGUGGGGGAUAACGUAGUGAAAAUUACGCUAAUACCGCAUACGAUCUAUGGAUGAAAGCGGGGGAUCGCAAGACCUCGCGCGAUUGGAGCGGCCGAUAUCAGAUCAGGUAGUUGGUGGGGUAAAGGCCCACCAAGCCAACGAUCUGUAGCUGGUCUGAGAGGACGACCAGCCACACUGGAACUGAGACACGGUCCAGACUCCUACGGGAGGCAGCAGUGGGGAAUUUUGGACAAUGGGCGAAAGCCUGAUCCAGCCAUUCCGCGUGCAGGAUGAAGGCCCUCGGGUUGUAAACUGCUUUUGUACAGAACGAAAAGGUUUCUACUAAUACUAGGAGCUCAUGACGGUACUGUAAGAAUGAGCACCGGCUAACUACGUGCCAGCCGCCGCCGUAA